rnacentral:sRNA from 1 species
UUCUAGCCCCGAUAGCAGUAAAAAUCCUUUUUAUGAGCUUUUUAGCGAAUAAAAAGAUUGCAGCGGAUAGCGGGAAAUAGC